CAGAGGUUUGGUCCUAGCCUUAUGGUUAAUUAGAGGAAGAAUUACACAUGCAAAGAUCCCUAAACCAGUGUCAAAUCCCUUAUAAUUCUACCUAGAAUUUAAGGAGAGGGUAUCAAGUACAUUCUUAUAGCUAAAAACACCUUGCCUAGCCACACCCCCACGGGACCCAGCAGUGAUAAAUAUUUAGCAAUAAAUGAAAGUUUGACUAAGUCAUUCCUCUUAGGGUUGGUAAAUUUCGUGCCAGCCACCGCGGUCAUACGAUUAACCCAAACUAACCAUAGACGGCGUAAAACGUGAAUAUGGAAACCAAUAUUAAUAGAAUUAAAACUCAGCUAAUAAGUAAAAAUUCAUCGCUGACUAUAAAAUCAAUAACGAAAGUAAUUCUACCAAUCCUAAUGCACGAAAGCUAAGACCCAAACUGGGAUUAGAUACCCCACUAUGCCUAGCCAUAAACUUAAAUAAUUAAAUAACGAAAUUAUUUGCCAGAGAACUACUAGCUACAGCUUAAAACUCAAAGGACUUGGCGGUACUUUAUAUCCACCUAGAGGAGCCUGUUCUAUAAUCGAUAUACCCCGCUACACCUCACCGUCUCUUGCUAAUUCAGCCUAUAUACCGCCAUCUCCAGCAAACCCUAAAAAGGAACCACAGUAAGCUCAAGAAUGACCAUAAAGACGUUAGGUCAAGGUGUAGCCUAUGAGACGGAAAGCAAUGGGCUACAUUUUCUUACUCAAGAACACUCACGCUACCCUCUAUGAAAUAGGGAGGGCCAAGGAGGAUUUAGUAGUAAAUUAAGAAUGAGAGCUUAAUUGAACAGAGCAAUGAAGUACGUACACACCGCCCGUCACCCUCCUCAAAUUAGACUAGCGACGCACCAAUAAAUAAUAUAAGUCAAAGCCUCUGAGAGGAGAUAAGUCGUAACAAGGUAAGCAUACUGGAAAGUGUGCUUGGA
rnacentral:ncRNA from 1 species